AUUGAACGCUGGCGGCAUGCCUUACACAUGCAAGUCGAACGGCAGCACGGGAGCAAUCCUGGUGGCGAGUGGCGAACGGGUGAGUAAUGUAUCGGAACGUACCUUUCAGUGGGGAGUAACGUAGCGAAAGUUAACGCUAAUAACCGCAUAUUCUGUGAGCAGGAAAGACAGGGAGUCGCAAGAACCUUGCGCUGAUUGAGCGGCCGAUAUCAGAUUAGCUAGUUGGUGAGGUAAAGGACUCACCAAGGCGACGAUCUGUAGCGGGUCUGAGAGGAUGAUCCGCCACACUGGAACUGAGACACGGUCCAGAUCCUACGGGAGGCAGCAGU
rnacentral:rRNA from 1 species